AUGAUUUUCAUGUCCAUACACCAGUCCAAAACAAUCCCUUCUAUAAGCCUUCAAUACUUCCAAAAAAAAUGUCAAAAAACUUACUGCCCUACAUCCCCCCCACAAGUUUCUAUUCCAAAACUAAGUUGUUGUCACAACAUGCCAAAACCCUGCACUAAACAGUCUAAGAAUAUCACAAAAAAAGCAAAACAAAAACUACAUUACAAAGCAUUGAAGAGUGUAUCAUUAUUUGACUCAAUCUCUUAG